CAAUAGCGUAUACUAAAGUUGUUGCAGUUAAAAAGCUCGUAGUUGAAUUUCUGGUCUCGGACAUCGGUCUGCCUCAAACGAGGUACGCACCAGUUGUCUGUCGCCAUCCUCGGGGAGAACGUAUCUGUCAUUCAGUUGAUGGGUACGGUAUCCUCGUCAUUUACUGUGAGCAAAAUAGAGUGUUCAAAGCAGGCUUAUGCCGUUGAAUACAUUAGCAUGGAAUAAUAAGAUAAGACCUUGGUCUAUUUUGUUGGUUUGACUCCAAGGUAAUGAUUAAUAGGGAUAGUUGGGGGUAUUCGUAUUCAAUUGUCAGAGGUGAAAUUCUUGGAUUUAUGGAAGACGAACUACUGCGAAAGCAUUUACCAAGGAUGUUUNCAUUAA
rnacentral:rRNA from 1 species